UACGUAGGGCGCAAGCGUUGUCCGGAAUUAUUGGGCGUAAAGGGCUCGUAGGCGGUUCGUCACGUCGGGAGUGAAAACUCGGAGCUUAACCCCGAGCCUGCUUCCGAUACGGGCAGACUAGAGGUAGGCAGGGGAGAGCGGAACUCCUGGUGUAGCGGUGGAAUGCGCAGAUAUCAGGAAGAACACCGGUGGCGAAGGCGGCUCUCUGGGCCUUACCUGACGCUGAGGAGCGAAAGCGUGGGUAGCGAACAGG
rnacentral:rRNA from 1 species